GUACUCGAGCGGCGAACGGGUGAGUAACACGUGAGUAACCUGCCCCAGGCUUUGGGAUAACCCCGGGAAACCGGGGCUAAUACCGGAUAUGACCAUCUGUCGCAUGGUGGGUGGUGGAAAGAUUUUUUGGCUUGGGAUGGGCUCGCGGCCUAUCAGCUUGUUGGUGGGGUGAUGGCCUACCAAGGCGGCGACGGGUAGCCGGCCUGAGAGGGCGACCGGCCACACUGGGACUGAGACACGGCCCAGACUCCUACGGGAGGCAGCAGUGGGGAAUCUUGCACAAUGGGCGGAAGCCUGAUGCAGCGACGCCGCGUGAGGGAUGACGGCCUUCGGGUUGUAAACCUCUUUCAGCAGGGACGAAGCGUUUGUGACGGUACCUGCAGAAGAAGCGCCGGCCAACUACGUGCCAGCAGCCGCGGUAAGACGUAGGGCGCAAGCGUUGUCCGGAUUUAUUGGGCGUAAAGAGCUCGUAGGCGGCUUGUCGCGUCGACUGUGAAAACCCGUGGCUCAACUGCGGGCUUGCAGUCGAUACGGGCAGGCUAGAGUUCGGUAGGGGAGACUGGAAUUCCUGGUGUAGCGGUGAAAUGCGCAGAUAUCAGGAGGAACACCGGUGGCGAAAGGCGGGUCUCUGGGCCGAUA
rnacentral:rRNA from 1 species